AUUGAACGCUGGCGGCAGGCCUAACACAUGCAAGUCGAGCGGAUGAAGGGAGCUUGCUCCUGGAUUCAGCGGCGGACGGGUGAGUAAUGCCUAGGAAUCUGCCUGGUAGUGGGGGAUAACGUCCGGAAACGGGCGCUAAUACCGCAUACGUCCUGAGGGAGAAAGUGGGGGAUCUUCGGACCUCACGCUAUCAGAUGAGCCUAGGUCGGAUUAGCUAGUUGGUGGGGUAAAGGCCUACCAAGGCGACGAUCCGUAACUGGUCUGAGAGGAUGAUCAGUCAAAGUGGAACAGAGACCCGGUCCAGCCUCCGCCGGGGGGCGGCAGUGGGAAUUUUUGAAAAAGGGGCGAAAGCCUAAACCAGCCAUGCGGCGUGUGGGAAGAAGUUCUUCGGAUUUUAAACUUUUUUGGGUGGGGAGAAAGGGAAGUAAUUUAAUACCUUGUUGUUUUGAGGUCACCAAAAAAAAAAGCCCCGGCAACCUUCGUC
rnacentral:rRNA from 1 species